AGCCAGAACGCCAGGGGCGGGGCCUCCGCGCCUGCGCAGUGGAGCUGGGCGCCCUUGGCGCUUGAGCUUCUGAGGGUCCGGUCCCGCGCGAGGGCUACCGGAUGGCGGAACCCCAGGCGGAGUCGGAGCCCCUGCUGGGCCGGGCCCGCGGCGGUGGCGGCGACUGCCCGGCGGGGCUGGCCACUUACCGCAGCAUCCAAGUCGGCCCUGGUGCCACGGCCAGGUGGGACCUCUGCAUUGAUCAGGCUGUGGUCUUCAUCGAAGAUGCUAUUCAGUAUCGCUCCAUCAACCACCGGGUGGAUGCCAGCUCCAUGUGGCUUUACCGACGGUAUUACUCGAACGUAUGCCAACGGACUUUGAGCUUCACCAUCUUCUUGAUCCUGUUUUUGGCUUUUAUCGAGACCCCAUCCUCGCUCACCAGCACGGCGGACGUGCGCUACCGCGCUGCCCCCUGGGAGCCGCCCUGCGGCCUGACCGAGAGUGUCGAGGUGCUCUGCCUGCUGGUCUUUGCGGCCGACCUCUCUGUGAAGGGUUACCUGUUUGGGUGGGCCCAUUUCCAGAAAAACCUUUGGCUGCUGGGCUACCUCGUGGUGCUGGUGGUGUCUCUGGUGGACUGGACCGUGUCCCUGAGUCUCAUGUGUCAUGAGCCCCUGCGGAUCCGCCGGCUCCUCCGCCCCUUCUUCCUGCUGCAGAACUCCUCUAUGAUGAAGAAGACCUUGAAAUGCAUCCGCUGGUCGCUGCCGGAAAUGGCCAGCGUUGGGCUGCUGCUGGCCAUCCACCUGUGCCUCUUUACCAUGUUUGGGAUGCUGCUGUUCGCCGGUGGGAAGCAGGAUGAUGGGCAGGACAGGGAGAGGCUGACCUACUUCCAGAACCUGCCUGAGUCUCUGACUUCCCUCCUGGUGCUGCUGACCACGGCCAACAACCCCGAUGUGAUGAUUCCUGCGUAUUCCAAGAACCGGGCCUAUGCCAUCUUCUUCAUAGUCUUCACUGUGAUAGGAAGCCUGUUUCUGAUGAACCUGCUGACAGCCAUCAUCUACAGUCAGUUCCGGGGCUACCUGAUGAAAUCUCUCCAGACCUCGCUGUUUCGGAGGCGACUGGGAACCCGGGCUGCCUUUGAAGUCCUGUCCUCCAUGGUGGGGGAGGGAGGAGCCUUCCCUCCUGCAGUUGGGGUGAAGCCCCAGAACUUGCUGCGGGUGCUUCAGAAGGUCCAGCUGGACAGCUCCCACAAACAGGCCAUGAUGGAGAAGGUGCGUUCCUACGGCAGUGUUCUGCUCUCAGCUGAGGAGUUUCAGAAGCUCUUCGACGAGCUUGACAGAAGUGUGGUUAAAGAGCACCCGCCGAGGCCCGAGUACCAGUCUCCAUUUCUGCAGAGCGCCCAGUUCCUCUUUGGCCACUACUACUUUGACUACCUGGGGAACCUCAUCGCCUUGGCAAACCUCGUGUCCAUUUGCGUGUUCCUGGUGCUGGAUGCAGAUGUGCUGCCUGCUGAGCGUGAUGACUUCGUCCUGGGGAUUCUCAACUGCAUCUUCAUCGUGUACUACCUGUUGGAGAUGCUGCUCAAGGUCUUUGCCCUGGGCCUGCGAGGGUACCUGUCCUACCGCAGCAACGUGUUUGACGGGCUCCUCACCAUUGUCCUGCUGGUUUUGGAGAUCUCAACUCUGGCUGUGUACCGAUUGCCACACCCAGGCUGGAGGCCGGAGAUGCUGGGCCUGCUGUCGCUGUGGGACAUGACCCGCAUGCUGAACAUGCUCAUCGUGUUCCGCUUCCUGCGCAUCAUCCCCAACAUGAAGCCUAUGGCCGUGGUGGCCAGUACCGUCCUGGGCCUGGUGCAGAACAUGCGUGCAUUUGGCGGGAUCCUGGUGGUGGUCUACUAUGUAUUUGCCAUCAUUGGGAUCAACUUGUUUAGAGGCGUCAUUGUGGCUCCUCCUGGAAACAGCAGCCUGGCCCCUGCCAAUGGCUCGGCGCCCUGUGGGAGCUUCGAGCAGCUGGAGUACUGGGCCAACAACUUCGAUGACUUUGCGGCUGCCGUGGUCACUCUGUGGAACUUGAUGGUGGUGAACAACUGGCAGGUGCUCCUGGAUGCGUAUCGGCGCUUCUCGGGCCCGUGGUCCAAGAUCUAUUUUGUAUUGUGGUGGCUGGUGUCGUCUGUCAUCUGGGUCAACCUGUUUCUGGCCCUGAUUCUGGAGAACUUCCUUCACAAGUGGGACCCUCGCAGCCACCUGCAGCCCCUUGCUGGGUCCCCGGAGGCCACCUACCAGAUGACCGUGGAGCUCCUGUUCAGGGAUAUUCUGGAGGAGCCCAGGGAGGAUGAGCUCACGGAGAGGCUGAGCCAGCACCCGCACCUGCGGCUAUGUAGGUGAUGUCCGGGCUGCCGUCCCAGCGGGGGCGGCAGGAGAGAGAGGCUGGCCUACAUAGGUGCUCGUCAUGGAAGAGGCAGCUAUGCUGUGGCCAGCCGGGCAGGAAGAGACCUUUCCUCUGACGGACCACUAAGCUGGAGACAGGAACCAAGUCCUUUGCGUGCGGCCCAACAACCAUCUACAGAACAGCUGCUGGUGCUUCAGGGAGGCGCCAUGCCCUCCGCUUUCUUUUAUAGCUGCUUCAGUGAGAAGAGAAUUCCCUCGCCAACUCCACAGGGACCUUCCAGACAAAAAAGCAAGAAGCAGCAGCCUCCCCUGUCCCCUGCAGCUUCUGUGGUGCCUUUGCUGCCGGCGGCCCUUGGGGACCACAGGCCUGACCAGGGCCUGCACAGGUUAACCGUCAGACUUCCGGGGCAUUCAGCUGGGAAUGACACUAAUACCUCCAAUUUCAGCCCAGCACCACAGGGUACGUUCCAGUUUUCUCUCUUUCCAUAGUUGUAAGGCCCUUUCUGGGAACGGUUCUCAUUCUCCUUAAUUGAUUAUUGGGUCAGUUUUCCUGCAUGUCACCAGCCUCCCAUCCCUGUCACCCACUCCCCACAGAGAGGCCCUGCUCAUCCGACUGGGGCUUUGACUCCCACACUGUGUGCCCCUCUUUUGUGGACGCCCUGCUGCCAAAACCUUCAGCAAACAGCUUUCCAAAUGGAAGUUGUCACUGUCAGGGCCUUUACAAUCAGGAACAGCAAAAUCUACAUGCUGCUGAGGGUCCUGUCUCAUUAAGAUGCAAUAAAUAUGCAAGUACAUAAAAACAGCAAUAGAA